CCUAAAUCAAGCAAUAAUCAAAAUCUGAACAUGGAAUCGUGAUCACCUCGUCAAGGGGAUCAUAAGGAAAGGAAUCCGGGACGUCAAGUGGACACGCCGGAAGUGAUACCCGCGGAAAAGGUGUGCUUUAAAGGUGACUAUGGUGGGCUUCCGGAUGGCGGUCAAGAAAUGUAGAAGAACCGAACACGUAUUUUGAAUCUUCCGCGUUAACUUAACUUUGUUUUAGACAAUCAUUUUGAUGUAAAUGAA